UAGGGAAUCUUCCGCAAUGGACGAAAGUCUGACGGAGCAACGCCGCGUGAGCGAUGAAGGUUUUCGGAUCGUAAAGCUCUGUUGUUAGGGAAGAACAAGUGCGAGAGUAACUGCUCGCACCUUGACGGUACCUAACCAGAAAGCCACGGCUAACUACGUGCCAGCAGCCGCGGUAAUACGUAGGUGGCAAGCGUUGUCCGGAAUUAUUGGGCGUAAAGGGCUCGCAGGCGGUCUUCUAAGUCUGAUGUGAAAUCUUGCGGCUUAACCGUAAGCGGUCAUUGGAAACUGGAGGACUUGAGUACAGAAGAGGAGAGUGGAAUUCCACGUGUAGCGGUGAAAUGCGUAGAGAUGUGGAGGAACACCAGUGGCGAAGGCGACUCUCUGGGCUGUAACUGACGCUGAGGAGCGAAAGCGUGGGGAGCAAACAG
rnacentral:rRNA from 1 species